GGUGUUUUUCCGACACCAAAAAAAAGCAGGCCAACAAAGUGCACAUGUUGACGAUCAUAUUCUGUAUGAGGACAUUUUGUUGAUACAAUUAUCGUGCAUCUGCAAUUUGAGAAACGCUUGCAUCCCGUACGUGCCUUUACGUUGUUUCUUACCUUUGGGCGUGCACACCACUGGACUCUGUAACUGGAAUGGCCCCAAUCGCUUGCUGCGCAUUGGAGGCUUGAAGCCACCGGAAGUAUAGAAGUCGCCAUGUUGUUUCACCCAAAACAAGAAAUCCUUAGAACUAAGAGGAGUUGGAGAUGCCGUCUUGUGCUGCUAUUAAUUGCACAAAUCGUGAUACUCGUGAAAGUCGCGAGAAGGGACUUACAUUUCACAGAUUUCCACACUGCAAUGCUCAACUUCUAAAGCAAUGGGUAGUAAAUAUGCGGAGAGACAGGUGGAUUCCUGCAGCCAGAUCGCAACUCUGUUCAAGUCAUUUCACCGAGGAGAACGACAGGACCGGCCAGACUGUUGGAUUACGACAAAAUGUAGUUCCAACAAUAUUUGACUUUCCUGAUCAUCUUCUAAAGGGUGAAGCAAGAUGGCCGACCAAUGGCUUCAUUCGGUCAGCCGUGACGCCCCUUCCAGUAGUAUAGAGCCUUUCACACAGGAGUGAGGAGAUUCAGAGGCUAUGAUGGCGUCGCUGCAGCAGAAGAACAUGGUGAGCGACAAUCACGAGGGUCACAAACCAACCAGCACAUUUCCAAACAAACACAUGCUCAACGCGCCCCCUGCUGGUGCAAUGACGUCCACAUUAUGUCGUCAUUCAUCGCUGUGUACUGGACCAAUUUCAAACUCAGCCACCCACAUAGCGCGCUACGUGUGCUGGAAAUGAGCCUGUGGCAUCAAGAACGAGCGACCACAUCGAGCAGGGGUGUCCAAAGUGCGGCCGGGGUGCCGUUUGUGGCCCAGGGCACAUUCUAAAAAUAUCAUUUAACAACAAAACUGAAAUAAAACUGCAAAAAUGGACAAAUCAGCAGCCAUUUUACACAAUUAAAGUCAAAAUAUUACGAAAAAAAGUUGUAAUUUUACAAGAAUAAUGUGGUAAUACAGUAGACGCCCCUACAACAUAAAUAAUCCGUUCCGAGAACCUUUAUGUUAUAGGGUUUUUAUGUUAUACGAAGCGAAAAAUACAUGUAAAUAGCUAAUCCGUUCCAAGAUCUUCCCAAACUCACCCCUUUGGCACUUCAAAAUAUUCCAAGUCCACCAAAUAUGGUGAGAAAAUAUAAGAAAACAUUAGCAUAAACAUAGUAGAGUAACAUUCCAAUAUAAAAUAAGGUAAUAAGAUAACUGUAAAUGAAUAAAACUGAAAAACAAAAACAAUUCUACCGUUCACGAGAUGUCUUGAUCAGGAGCGCAAGUGGAGGCAGGAAGGAGGAGGAGGACUAGCCUAAGUCGAAACGCGACUCAAAGAGUCUAAAAGUCAGCUGGUCUCACAGACAAACGCACAUGCACUACACGAUAAUGCUGUGUGCAAGAUUUUAAUUUGUAACUUAACUUAAUUGUUUAAGUUAGUUUCAGGGCGACUACGAAGAGGAAGGAGUUUGAAGGGACAAGCCUGUCUCUCACACAAACCCACGUACGUGCUGUAUAACUUAGCCAAUGAGAUAAGAGCGUAGGCGGUGCCCCGAUAAUCAGCCAAUGAGAUGAGAGCGUGGGCGGUGCCCCGAUAAUCAGCCAAUGAGAUGAGAGCGUAGGCGGUGCCCCGAAAAUCAGCAAAUGAGAUGAACGCGGAGGCGGUGUCCCGAAAAUCAGCCAUUGAGAGCGUGAUGCGUCAGAAGGUGUCACCAAGUGUUAGUCUGAACUUGCACCAACUUGAGGCAUUAAUAAAGUUGAUUGAAAAAAAAAAAAAAGACUUGCACUGACUUGACGCUUUAUGUUAUAUGGAAUUUCUUCUGUAAUACGAUGCAAAAACUUGACAUAAACUUUUUAUGUUCAGUGGAAUUUAUGUAAAAGGAGGUUUAUGUUAUGCGAGGUACUACUGUACUACGAGGAAAAAUAAGGUAAUUUUAUUGGCAUAAAGUUGAAAUAUUCAAGAAAAAAAGGCAUUAAAGUUGGCAUGUUAUGACAAACAAGCAAAAUAAAGUUGUAAUUUUUGGAAAAUUAGGUUGUGGAAAAAGUUAUGUUACAAGAAAAAAGUCCAAAUAUUAAUGAGAAUGAAGUCACCAUUACAAGAAGAAAAGCAGCAAAAAUGGACAAAACUGCUGCAAUUGUAUGAGCAUAAAGUGAAAAUAUUAGCAGAAUAAAGUUUUAUUCUAACGGGAAAAAAGGCACAAUUUUACCAGAAUAAAAUCAAAAUAUUAACAGCAUAAAGUUUCAUCCGAGCGAGAAAAAAAGCCUCCAUUUUAUGAGAAUAAACCCGUAAUAUGAGUAAAAAGAUCAUGUUAGUGGCAUAGAUUUGAAAUAUUUUUUUGAAAGUCAUCAUAUUAUGCAAAACAAUACAAAAUAAAGUUGCCCUUUUUGGAAAAUGAGGUUGGGGAACAAAGCUGUAUGGAUAACAUUCUGAUGAUUAUACAAACUAAAUAUGAUAUUAUCAGAACAAAAGCUCUAAUAUGAAAAAAGGUCAAAGACUGAGGUUGAUACAAAUAAGAGGAUUUUUCACCUGCACGCCAAAGCUUAAAAUGCCGCAUAUCGAACAUCUGAACAUAUCUACAUGGACACCAUGUGGCCCUCGUUGGACACCCCUGACGUAGAAGAGGCAGCAGAAGAAGCAGGGUGGAAUAUUUCAGCAUGACAACUACGGUGACAAGUUCCAGAAUGACUUACCCAGCUAGAACAUAUUUUCUACCAGUGACAGAGGAGAGGA